UUAACUCGAGAUGAAUUAAAGAUUUAAAUGUAAGACCUCAAACUCUAUAAAUUACAGAAGAAAAUCUAGGAAAUUCCCUUCUCAAUGUAUGGGAGAAAAUAUUUGCAAGCUAUGCAUCCAACAAAGGUCUAAUAUCCAGAAUCUAUAAGGAACUUAAACAAAUGUCCCUUUCUCUGUCUGCUUGGACCAGGGGUCACUGGGUGAGCAGCAGCAGAGCUGACCUCAGCCAGGACCUGCAUGCUUCAAGUGGCCAGCUUUGAAGAGUUCAUCCCAGCCAGGGACAAUGGAAGGGGUCUGGCGUUCGUGCGCCGUGGAGACGCCUGUGCACAGCAGCCCUCUACCUUGUUCUAAUGACUCUGUCUUGAGAACAAGAUAAUCCUGCCUUCAAACCAACUGUUUGAGCUUCUGGCACUGCAUAUAUCCUCUUCUGAACUGAAAUUUCCCGGCGAUGGGCUGGAUCUGGUUGCAUUUUUAACCCCAUUUUAUUUUCCAUGCUGAAAAAGAUAAGCCUCCUUGUGGGAAAGCAGCUGCUUUGGAUCAGGUUAGAGGCAGUAAAUUUAAAAACAAAUGUUAACAUGAAUGAAAUUAUGAGUUCAGGACAUGAUUGUGAUUAUGAAAUGCCCAGGCUUUCUGCUUUUGACACAGUCAGGCUGAUUUUACCUUUCCUUUACAAUGAUUUUAUAUUUUUUCAUGAUUAAAAAUUUUCAUCAUCUUAUCCAGUGAUUUACAAAAGAUCCUUUGAUCAGCAUCACAUAUCAUGACGGUGUUAAAAAUUUAUAUGCAAUGAUUUUUUUGUUGUUGAAAACAAGCCUCUUAAAUUAGAUAUUUCUGAGAAUGAAUUUCUAUUCAUUCAUUCCGUCUUGAUUUAUUUAUAGCGUUAUUGAGUAUAUAGCUUUGUAUACUUUUGAGUGGUUGCUGUCCAUAUUACAAUAUGCACGUAUAACAUACUAUAGUCUACUGUUAUCAGUUUUACUACCUCAGGUGAAGUGUAGAAAGCUUACUUACAUUUAGGUCCUUACUUUUUUUUUUUUUUUUUUGAGACAGAGUCUCACUUUCUUGCCCAGGCUAGACUGAGUUGUAUGAUCAUAGCUCACCACAUCCU
rnacentral:lncRNA from 1 species